AGAGUUUGAUCAUGGCUCAGGACGAACGCUGGCGGCGUGGAUUAGGCAUGCAAGUCGAACGGUAUAAACCUUUCGGGGUUUAGAGAGUGGCGAACGGGUGAGUAACACGUAGGUAAUCUACCCUCAAAACGGGGACAACCCAGGGAAACUUGGGCUAAUACCGGAUGCGUGCAAGCAAUGUUUUGGCUGUUAAUGCUAUUCACGGAAGUGAGUAGUGUUAAUGGUUGAGAGCAUUAUUUGCAUAAAAGGUGGCAUAUGCUGCCGUUUGAGGAUGAGCCUGCGUCCUAUUAGUUAGUUGGUGAGGUAAUGGCUUACCAAGGCGAUGAUAGGUAGGCGGCCUUAACGGGUGGUCGCCCACACUGGGAUUGAGAGACGGCCCAGACUCCUACGGGAGGCAGCAGUCGAGAAUAGUCUACAAUGGACGGAAGUCUGAUAGUGCGACGCCGCGUGAACGAAGAAUCCCUUCGGGGUGUAAAGUUCUUUUAUACGUGAGCAGUGCCCUUUAUAUGAAUAGUAUAGAGGGAGGGAUUUAAGCGUAUGAAUAAGCAACGGCUAACUCCGUGCCAGCAGCCGCGGUAACACGGGGGUUGCAAGCGUUGUCCGGAAUUACUAGGCGUAAAGUGCAGGUAGGCGGAUAGAUAAGUUUAAGGUUAAAGGCUACGGCUUACCCGUAGUAAGGCGUUAGAUACUGUUUAUCUGGAAUGCGGUUGAGGGAGACAGAAUUCCUGGUGUAGCGGUGGAAUGCGCAGAGAUCAGGAGGAAUACCGAAAGGCGAAGGCAGUCUUCUAAGCCGAUAUUGACGCUAAACUGCGAAGGUGUGGGGAUCAAACAGGAUUAGAUACCCUGGUAGUCCACACAGUAAACGAUAAUCACUAGGUGUUGGGUUCGUAUAGGACUCGGUGCCGGAGCUAACGCGAUAAGUGAUUCGCCUGGGGAGUACGAUCGCAAGGUUGAAACUCAAAUGAAUUGACGG
rnacentral:rRNA from 1 species